UAGGGAAUCUUCGGCAAUGGGGGGAACCCUGACCGAGCAACGCCGCGUGAGUGAAGAAGGUUUUCGGAUCGUAAAGCUCUGUUGUUAAGGAAGAACGAGUGUGAGAAUGGAAAGUUCAUACUGUGACGGUACUUAACCAGAAAGGGACGGCUAACUACGUGCCAGCAGCCGCGGUAAUACGUAGGUGGCAAGCGUUGUCCGGAUUUAUUGGGCGUAAAGCGAGCGCAGGCGGUCAAUUAAGUCUGAUGUGAAAGCCCCCGGCUCAACCGGGGAGGGUCAUUGGAAACUGGUUGACUUGAGUGCAGAAGAGGAGAGUGGAAUUCCAUGUGUAGCGGUGAAAUGCGUAGAUAUAUGGAGGAACACCAGUGGCGAAGGCGACUCUCUGGUCUGUAACUGACGCUGAGGCUCGAAAGCGUGGGUAGCGAACAGG
rnacentral:rRNA from 1 species